rnacentral:snoRNA from 1 species
CCCUCCUGCAAAGGCCUGUCUGUGGUUCCCUGUCUUCGGACAUAAGAAUUAGAGGCAAAGAAACGUGGACUUGGGGGUGUGGAGCCAGCUUGCUCCUGCAGGCUCAAGACCAACCAUCCCACACAG